AAUUUUAUAGUUUAAAAAGAAUAUUAGAUUGCAAAUCUUACGGUAACAAAAGUUUAAAAUUU
rnacentral:tRNA from 1 species